GUCGUUAGCUCAGUCGGUAGAGCAGUUGACUUUUAAUCAAUUGGUCGCAGGUUCGAAUCCUGCACGACCCACCA
rnacentral:tRNA from 2 species